rnacentral:lncRNA from 1 species
ACAAAAGGAACAGAGAAGUUUUAAUGGUAGAUAAACCUAUAUUUUCAAUAGUAAUAAAGAUGAUUAAGUACUUUGGAAUAGCUUUAUUAAGAAAGAUGCAAAAUCAUACAAGAAGAUUGCCAGAAUACUCCUGAAAGACCUAAAUAAGACUUAAACCUUAUCCAUUCUUGGAUAGGAUGACCUAAUAUAAAUACAUUAAUUCUUCCUAACUAAUUUAUAAAUUCAAUGCAAUCUUAAUAAAACCACCCCAGACUAUUUUAUAGAGUUAGACAUUUUAUACUAAAGUUCAUAUAUAAAAAACAAAACCAUGCAGAAAUCAUGAAACCAAUGAAAAGUAAAAACCAUAAUGUAAAACCUCAGCAAUUAGGAACAUGGUGCCGGCCUGUGAAUAGACAAAAAGAUGAGUAGGAGAACCUAGGAAUAGAACCCAAGUACAGGCAGAAAUUUAGUAUAUGAUAAUGGUGGCAUUUCAAGUCAAUGGGGUUAAGGUGGACUGUAAUAAAAUGGUGUUGAAAUGAUGGUAACCAUUUGAAAAAAGACAAAAAUAGAUGCAUACCUCACACCAUACCCAGUGGUUAGGAAUCCAAAGGUCAAAAAUGAAAUCCAUGGAAGCACAUGAUGAAAACAACUGAUCAAAAUACCAGGGUCCUGAUAGUCAAGGAAAAUACUCAGGAACGCCUGGAGGAGAUGAGGAAGAUGAGCCAAUGCUGUGCGAGAUCUGGAGAGGCUCCUGGGGAGAGGAAGAAUGUUGAUGGAAAACUGGUGAAAUCUGAAUAAGAUUUGUAGUGCAGUGGACAAUACUGUUUCAAUAAUUGAUCAAUGUUCUUUACCAUUCCACUAUGAGAUGAGAACUUCAGAGGAAGCAGGGUAGGGGGACAUAAAGAAUUUGUAUGAUUUUGCAACUUGUCCUUAAAUCUAAAAUAUGAUAAAAUAACUCCUUGAGAAAUAAAAGCAGAGCACAACAUUAUAAAUGUUAUGUGUGUGUGUGUGUGUGUGUGUGUGUAUUUUUUCCUAAGACUGGAAGGGAUUGUACCAAUGCGGUAACAUUGGGUAUCUUGGGUGGAAAGUGGUAACUUUUGCUUUUGUUUUCUUAUUCAUCUUACCUACUUUUUAAAAUUUUCUUCUCAGUUGACGGUUU